CCGUAACUAUAACGGUCCUAAGGUAGCGAAAUUCCUUGUCGGGUAAGUUCCGACCUGCACGAAAGGUGUAAUGAUUUGGGCACUGUCUCAACGAUACACUCGGUGAAAUUGAAAUACCAGUGAAGAUGCGGGUUACCCGCGCCAGGACGGAAAGACCCCAUGGAGCUUUACUCCAGCUUGAUACUGGGAUUCGAUAUUGUAUGUACAGGAUAGGUGGGAGGCGAAGAAGCAUUGACGCCAGUUGAUGCGGAGCCGCUGUUGGGAUACCACCCUUGCAGUAUUGGAUUUCUAACCAGCAGCCGUGAACCGGCUGGGGGACAAUGUCAGGUGGGGAGUUUGACUGGGGCGGUCGCCUCCGAAAGGGUAUCGGAGGCGCUCAAAGGUUCCCUCAGAAUGGUUGGAAACCAUUCGAAGAGUGCAAAGGCAGAAGGGAGCUUGACUGCGACACCGACGGGUGGAGCAGGUACGAAAGUAGGACUUAGUGAUCCGGUGGUAUAAAGAGGGAUUGCCAUCGCUCAACGGAUAAAAGCUACCCUGGGGAUAACAGGCUUAUCACUCCCAAGAGUUCACAUCGACGGAGUGGUUUGGCACCUCGAUGUCGGCUCAUCGCAUCCUGGAGCUGAAGUCGGUUCCAAGGGUUGGGCUGUUCGCCCAUUAAAGCGGUACGCGAGCUGGGUUCAGAACGU
rnacentral:rRNA from 1 species